AACAUCGAGAUCACAUCCAAAAUCCUCGACGGCCUCGAUCUGGAAUAUAAUCCGGUCGUGUCGACGCUCGUGGCUCGGGUGGAGCCCGUCACGGUUCAGGAGCUCUACAGUCAGCUUCUGAGUUUUGAUG
rnacentral:snoRNA from 1 species